rnacentral:rRNA from 1 species
UACGUAGGGUGCAAGCGUUAAUCGGAAUUACUGGGCGUAAAGCGUGCGCAGGCGGUUAUGUAAGACAGGUGUGAAAUCCCAGGGCUUAACCUUGGAACUGCAUUUGUGACUGCAUAGCUAGAGUACGGUAGAGGGGGAUGGAAUUCCGCGUGUAGCAGUGAAAUGCGUAGAUAUGCGGAGGAACACCGAUGGCGAAGGCAAUCCCCUGGACCUGUACUGACGCUCAUGCACGAAAGGCGUGGGGAGCAAACAGG